rnacentral:SRP_RNA from 1 species
CCCGCCGGUAUGGACGUCCCCAGCUGUGAACCCCGUCAGGCCCGGAAGGGAGCAGCGGCAACGGUAUGGAGCGGGUCGUGCCGGCUCAUCG